AUUUAUUCAACUGUUACAACCAUGUUCCUAGAGAUUGCUGGACAGAGCUUUUUUUUCUGUUUUUGUUUUGAAUAUAAGUUCAUUUUCGCAAAUAUUGUUUCUGUUUCAACAUUAGUCCCCCCUAAUGUAGAGGACGAUCUUGUCUGGCAGCUUUUACAAUCAGAGACAUGAUCUGAAUGCACUGUUGUGCCAAACACAUGUGCUUUUCCGAGAAGAGCUCUAUAAAUUUACUAUAGGCUCUUGUUGGUGUUCCUUUCUUUUCUUAUGUAUUUAGUUAUUCAUUUCCAUUAUUAUUCACAUGAGUACAUGUCUGAUGUUAUCUGUCUAUUUUGCUAUGAAAAUAUUCCAACAAAUUAUGAAACAAAGAACUGAAAAACACUUGAAACAUAUUUACAAAUAUGACUUGAUACAAUCUUUGGGUUAUGGUACUAUGUAAUGUCAUAUUUACUCUCAUGUCGUGAGGCACUCUGUGUAAAACUUCAGAAAACUGUUCUUCUGUGCUGUGAAACAGAAGUGCACAUUAUACAACAACUUUUUGUAUAAUCGUAUAUUGUGGUUCUUAGGAUAUUUAAAAGUAGAAUGGGAAGCAGAGCCUUCAGCUUUCAGGCCUCUCUUCUGUGGAACCAGUUUCCAGUUUUGAUUCAGACACCUUCUCUACUUUCACGAUUAGGUUUAAAACUUUCCUCUAUGACAAAGCAGAUAGUUAGGCCUGGAUCGAGUAACUCUGAAUCUUCCCUUAGUCACGCUGCAAUAAGCCUCCACUUUUGAGGGCUUCCCAUGAUGCACUGCAUAUUCCUUCUUCACUCACCUUUCACUCACUGUGUGACUGUGUUUACAGACCACUUUGCAUUUAAUCAUUAAGUAAGUAAGUAAAGUUUAUUUAUUUUCUUAGACAAGCAGUCACAAAGCUCUGUAGAAAAAGUUAAAAUAAAGAAAACAUUAGGUAAUAUAAUAAACCAUAUAAACAAUGCAAAUUCAAAACAAUUCAAAAGCGUUGAUCAAUAGAAGGCCUGUUUAAACAAAAAAAGUUUUUAACUGCUUUUUAAGGAUUCCACAGAGUAAACCAAACGCAGUUGUGGAGGUAAACUGUUCCACAGCCUUGGUGCCACAGACUGAAAGGCUCUGUCCCCUUUCGUCUUCAGUUGUGUACGGGGAACAACCAGCAAACUCUGAGACUAAACAAACAUAUUACUGCUAAAUACACAGUCAAGAAUGGGGAACCAAGUGCCAAAGGAGAGUGACAUGGGCUGCUGCCUCAGAUGUUGCAAAUGUUCUAAAGUCCUGCCUCCAUGCAAAUCGUUUGAUGACUUCUAUAAAUGUUGUAUUGGUGGCCGAGAGGUAUAUGUGUAUAAUGGAGGGCAAUACUACAGACCAGUUGGUUAUGAUGACGCGUAUGAGUGCAGUUGUUGCUUUAAUAAGCAAUAAGCAAAGGUUUAUUAUUAUCUUUUUCUUUUUCAGACUGUACAUUAUCGAAAAAGUUAAAUCCUAACUGCUUGCUUUGCCAUUGUGACUCAAUGUCAACUGUAAAUUUAAGACAGGCUUUGUGCUGUUUUUGCUUAUUUGUUUUUAUUUUAGUGACUUUGAGACUAGUUACUUUAGUGGCUUUAAUAUAAUCUGAAUAUAAUACAUUAUAUAACACAACAAAAUAAUUAGAAAUGCUGUUAAAAUAGCAACAAAAAAUGUUCUUUCUGUUCUGGCAAAAAUCCUCAUGUUUUGCAAAAUCAGAUAAAUUGAUAUUUCUAAUUUACCUUUUUUUUUUAAGCCGAAGCACAAAGAGAACACAAAGACUCACAAAAUGCUGUAAUAAAGUUUCCUCUCAGACUACA